CAGCAUUGGUUGAGCUAUCAGUGACUGAGGAAUGAUUAAUGAAACAUGUAAACAUUCCCCAGAGAAUUCCCAGAAAUACACAGAGAGCAGAACUUGGUAACAGACUUUCCUCUCUGAAGAUAAGUAAAUUGCAUAUUAAAGGGAACUGUGACCUCACAGACUGAUGAAAUUUGAGACACUUAAGCUGCAUAUGCUGCUUCUGGGCUAUGAGUUCUGUGUCAUAUCUUAGGGCUGUUGGAACAAGCCAGCCUCAUGAGGCAGGAUCCAGGUGCUUCUCAUUCCUUCAGGUGAAGAAAUCAAACCUCAGAUUCACCGCUUGCCCAGCUGAGACUUGUGUAGAUGUCUUUGGAUUGGAGAUUGUGAUUCUUCUCCAGAUGAACUGCAAGCUAUGACCCUGAGACAUCCCCGAGAAAGGGCGGACUCACUUGCACAUUUGCCUGGGGGCCAGAAGUGAGAGAGGAGGAGUGUCCAGGUCAAAUGCUACUCCUGUGAUGAGCACAAGGACUAUGGAGCCAGACAACUUCAGUAUCAGUCCCAGUUUGCACUGACCAGCUGUGUGGAUUUGGGCCAUCCUCUUUCCAGGCCUUCGUUUCUUCAUUUUGUUUGUUUGUUUGUUUGUUUAUUUGAGACAGGGUC